GACAGAGGGUGCAAACGUUGUUCGGAAUUACUGGGCGUAAAGCGAGUGUAGGCGGUUCGAUAAGUCGGAUGUGAAAGCCCCGGGCUCAACCCGGGAAGUGCACUCGAUACUGUCGAGCUAGAGUAUCGGAGAGGUUGGUGGAAUUCUCGGUGUAGAGGUGAAAUUCGUAGAUAUCGAGAGGAACACCGGUGGCGAAGGCGGCCAACUGGACGAAUACUGACGCUGAGACUCGAAAGCGUGGGGAGGCAAACAGG
rnacentral:rRNA from 1 species